rnacentral:rRNA from 1 species
ACGCUCGACACCUGGAGGCAGCAGUGAGGAAUAUUGGUCAAUGGGCGCAGGCCUGAACCAGCCAAGUAGCGUGAAGGAUGACUGCCCUAUGGGUUGUAAACUUCUUUUAUAUGGGAAUAAAGUUUUCCACGUGUGGAAUUUUGUAUGUACCAUAUGAAUAAGGAUCGGCUAACUCCGUGCCACAGCCGCGGUAAUCUGAGCGGGCUGGCAAGGC